GAAUGGUUUGGAUACUAGUGACCCGAAAGAUGGAAAAGAAAGGCCAUAACUUGAGGGAAUAAAUUCUCUCUAAAGAAUGGCUUCACAAGAAAAGAACUCUUGGAUAUUAAUUCAAGAAAAGAAAAGAGAUAGAUCAUUGAGAGUCUUGGUUGACGAAUGUCUUUCAUGUACUCUCUAUGAUGGAGUCUCCUUUUUUCAAUCAACAUGAUUGAAAUGAAACAAGCAACAUGCAUGUUUAAUUUGACCAACGUCGGAUCAAACAUGUGUGUCAAAGAUAAUUCAGAUUUAUUUCUGAAUUUGAUGCAGUCAAAAGAGCCAAUUAUGGCAUUUAUGUCCCUUAAAGGGAAUUACCCGCAUGGCGGGAAAAGUCUGGGAAGAAUGCCUGCGUAACCGGGUAAAGUUGACAUUGUAUUAUGUCAACAAUCCGUGUAUGGCGGGAGAAAUUUUGGCAAAGGCCUUAUCCUGUAUGACA
rnacentral:lncRNA from 1 species